UGAGAUUUGUUGAGUUUCCUUUUCUAAGUUGGGAUCAGCAUAUGUAGGAAGAAUUAUGGUACAAUAUUUUUUAAAUUAUUUAUAUAUUGAGAUUAUAAUAUAAUUAUGUCAUUUUUCUCUUCUCUAUUCUCCCUCUAAACCUUUUCAUGUACUCCACCUUGCUCUUUUGCAAAUUUAUGACCCUUUCUUUCAUUAACUAUUGUUACAUACGUAUACUUAAGUACUUAAACUUUUGCUGAACAAGGACAGAAACAAUAGACAUACAGAAAUGGACAGAGUAAAGUCUAGGAGGCCUAAACCCUACAGAAAGAAUUUGUCUAUUUUCUACAGACAAAUAGAAAUGCUGUGCACAGAUCCAGAGAGAGAGCACCUAUUGUUACUCAGUACCAAAUUGGUCAUCCCUGAAAACAUACAUACAAACAGCACUAGACAAAGUAAGUUGUGAUUGUAUAUUUAGGGUACAGCCUUUUAAAACAUAGAUGAUGCUAUUGUCCUAUUGAUUGUCACCUGAUGAGUGACACAGACAGUGUGCCUGUGAGGAUGUGGUACAUCCCUUUAAAUGGAUGUAUGGGACAUGUGCCAAGGGAAGGACCGAGAGAGGGAGAGCAAGACGAGAGGGAGAGGGGCGGGGGUGGGGAGAGGAAAGUUAGAGGGGGAGGGAAAGGGAGAGGAAGAGACCCAUCUACUGAGUAGUAUGCUUGGGUUACUAAAAAUGCAGCUAUUGAGUUGGACCUGGUGACACACCAGCACUUUGGAGGCAGAGGCUGAAGGAUGGUAGGUACAAGUUUGAGUCUACCAUCAUCUACAUAGAGAUCAAGUCCAGCCAGGGUUAUGCAGCAAGACCCUGCCU
rnacentral:lncRNA from 1 species